ensembl:rRNA 5S_rRNA 5S ribosomal RNA
GCUUACGGCCACACCGCCUGGUUCACGCCUGAUCUCGGAAGCUAAGAUAGUUUGGGCCUGGUUAGUACUUGGAUGGGAGACCGCCUGGGAAUACCAGGUGCUGUAAGCU